rnacentral:rRNA from 1 species
UACGUAGGGUGCGAGCGUUGUCCGGAAUUAUUGGGCGUAAAGAGCUCGUAGGCGGUGUGUCACGUCGGCCGUGAAAACCUGCAGCUUAACUGUGGGCGUGCGGUCGAUACGGGCAUCACUGGAGUUCGGCAGGGGAGACUGGAAUUCCUGGUGUAGCGGUGAAAUGCGCAGAUAUCAGGAGGAACACCGGUGGCGAAGGCGGGUCUCUGGGCCGAUACUGACGCUGAGGAGCGAAAGUGUGGGGAUCAAACAGG